rnacentral:rRNA from 1 species
AACGAACGCUGGCGGCGUGCCUAAGACACGCAAGUCGUGCGAGAAAGGGACUUCGGUCCUGAGUAAAGCGGCGCACGGGUGAGUAACGCGUGGGUAACCUACCUCGAAGUCUGGAAUAACCCGGGGAAACCUGAGCUAAUACCGGAUAAGCCUACGAGGCCUUCGGGUCAUGUGGGAAAAGAUGGCCUCUGCUUGCAAGCUAUCGCUACGAGAUGAGCCCGCGUCCCAUUAGCUAGUUGGCGAGGUAACGGCUCACCAAGGCGACGAUGGGUAGCUGGUCUGAGAGGACGAUCAGCCACACUGGAACUGAGACACGGUCCAGACUCCUACGGGAGGCAGCAGUCGGGAAUAUUGGGCAAUGGGCGCAAGCCUGACCCAGCGACGCCGCGUGAGGGAUGAAGGCCUUCGGGUCGUAAACCUCUGUCGGGAGGGAAGAAUGGCGGUGAGGCGAAUAGUCUCGCUGUCUGACGGUACCUCCAAAGGAAGCGCCGGCUAACUCCGUGCCAGCAGCCGCGGUAAUACGGAGGGCGCAAGCGUUGUUCGGAAUCACUGGGCGUAAAGCGCGUGUAGGCGGCCGGGCAAGUCGGAUGUGAAAUCCCGAGGCUCAACCUCGGAACUGCAUUCGAAACUGCUCGGCUCGAGUCCCGGAGAGGAUGGCGGAAUUCCCGGUGUAGGGGUGAAAUCCGUAGAUAUCGGG